UACGGAGGGUGCGAGCGUUGUCCGGAAUCACUGGGCGUAAAGGGCGCGUAGGCGGCUGGGGAAGUCGGCGGUGAAAGCCCGGAGCUCAACUCCGGGUCGGCCGUCGAGACUCCUCGGCUCGAGCUCACUAGAGGCAGAUGGAAUUCCUGGUGUAGCGGUGAAAUGCGUAGAGAUCGGAAAGAACACCAACGGCGAAAGCACUCUGCUGGGCCGACACUGACACUGAGAGACGAAAGCUAGGGGAGCGAAUGGG
rnacentral:rRNA from 1 species